UGUGCUGCAUGGGUAUCUGUGCUCCGUAGUUACCCUCCUGCUAGUAUGUUUCAAGGACGCUGCCAAAGAAAUUCAAUAUCUAGCAUUGUUGAUUUUCUUGACUUUGUGCCUGUUAAACCCGGUAUUUCUACAGAUGCUGUU